AUGGCCACAUCACAUUGAAACACCUGUUCUUGUAUGAUCACUGAAGUUAAGUAAUGUAAAGCCUGAUCAGUACAUUGAUGGGUGACUGCUUGGGAAUGCCAUGUGUUAU